rnacentral:rRNA from 1 species
GCAACUCGCCUACAUGAAGUCGGAAUCGCUAGUAAUCGCGGAUCAGCAUGCCGCGGUGAAUACGUUCCCGGGCCUUGUACACACCGCCCGUCACACCAUGGGAGUCGGUAACACCCGAAGCCUGUAGUCUAACCGCAAGGAGGACGCAGUCGAAGGUGGGAUUGAUGACUGGGGUGAAGUCGUAACAAGGUAGC